rnacentral:rRNA from 1 species
CCACGGGCUGCUGCAGUGGGGAAUAUUGCACAAUGGAGGAAACUCUGAUGCAGCAACGCCGCGUGGAGGAUGACACUUUUCGGAGCGUAAACUCCUUUUAUAUAGGAAGAAGAUGACGGUACUAUAUGAAUAAGCGCCGGCUAACUCCGUGCCAGCAGCCGCGGUAAUACGGAGGGCGCAAGCGUUACUCGGAAUCACUGGGCGCAAAGAGCGUGUAGGCGGAUUAAAAAGUCAGAAGUGAAAUCCUAUAGCUUAACUAUAGAACUGCUUCUGAAACUCUUAAUCUAGAAUAUGGGAGAGGUAGAUGGAAUUUCUGGUGUAGGGGUAAAAUCCGUAGGGAUCAGAAGGAAUACCGAUUGCGAAGGCGAUCUACUAGAACAUUAUUGACGCUGAGACGCGAAAGCGUGGGGAGCAAACAGGAUUAGAUACCCCAGUAGUC